rnacentral:lncRNA from 1 species
AGAUAUGCUUUAGUUUUUUUAAAAAUUUUCAGUAUGUGACAUGCAUGUGAUGUGAUGAACAUGCAUGUGAUGAAUUCGACUGCAACUUCUAAACUGGUAGGCUAUACUAGCAAUUCAUUUUUUAUACUUUUUUUUUUGUUGUGAUUUAAAUAAUUAUGUGGUAUCUAUAAUAAAUAUGAUGUUGUAGUAAUUUUUCGUUCAUAUUUAGUCAUAUGUUUU